rnacentral:rRNA from 1 species
UACGUAGGCGACAAGCGUUGUCCGGAUUUACUGGGCGUAAAGAGCGCGCAGGCGGUCAAUCAAGUCGAGUGUGAAAGCCCCCGGCUCAACUGGGGAGGGUCAUUCGAUACUGAUCGACUCGAAGGCAGGAGAGGGUAGUGGAAUUCCCGGUGUAGUGGUGAAAUGCGUAGAUAUCGGGAGGAACACCAGUGGCGAAGGCGACUACCUGGCCUGUUCUUGACGCUGAGGCGCGAAAGCUAGGGGAGCAAACGGG